rnacentral:lncRNA from 1 species
UGCUCAUCCUCUUCUUGUCUUGCAGACUAAGAAGCAGAAACUUUUACAGAAAGAAAAGAAAAAAAGAAGGCAGGUGGACAGGAACAAUUACAAGAGAUGAAGCUGGAGGCUUGAUGGAUUUUCAAUACCAGAUUCCAUUCCUUCCUGGGGCCCAGUCGUGGCUAGCUGUGCAGAAAAUGAAGUCGCUGAUGUGCCCUCCUUCUAUGUCUGUUUCCCCUGGAAGUUGUCUGGACUGCCAUAGAUUUGUCUGCAUGAAAAAUGACAGUGUUUUUUAAGACUUUUUUUUUUUUAAUCAAAACUAGC